AAGAGGGACCAUAUCAGCGCUAAUGCACGGGAUUCCAUAAGAACUCCGAAGUUAAGCGUGCUUGGGAUAGAAUAGUUCUAAGAUGGGCUUAUCUUAUGACUUUCAUA
rnacentral:rRNA from 1 species